rnacentral:rRNA from 1 species
CCUACGGGAGGCAGCAGUGGGGAAUAUUGGACAAUGGGCGCAAGCCUGAUCCAGCCAUGCCGCGUGAGUGAUGAAGGCCCUAGGGUUGUAAAGCUCUUUCACCGGUGAAGAUAAUGACGGUAACCGGAGAAGAAGCCCCGGCUAACUUCGUGCCAGCAGCCGCGGUAAUACGAAGGGGGCUAGCGUUGUUCGGAUUUACUGGGCGUAAAGCGCACGUAGGCGGACUAUUAAGUCAGGGGUGAAAUCCCGGGGCUCAACCCCGGAACUGCCUUUGAUACUGGUAGUCUUGAGUUCGAGAGAGGUGAGUGGAAUUCCGAGUGUAGAGGUGAAAUUCGUAGAUAUUCGGAGGAACACCAGUGGCGAAGGCGGCUCACUGGCUCGAUACUGACGCUGAGGUGCGAAAGCGUGGGGAGCAAACAGGAUUAGAUACCCCAGUAGUC